UGGGGAAUAUUGGACAAUGGGCGCAAGCCUGAUCCAGCCAUGCCGCGUGAGUGAUGAAGGCCUUAGGGUUGUAAAGCUCUUUUAUCCGGGACGAUAAUGACGGUACCGGAGGAAUAAGCCCCGGCUAACUUCGUGCCAGCAGCCGCGGUAAUACGAAGGGGGCUAGCGUUGCUCGGAAUCACUGGGCGUAAAGGGCGCGUAGGCGGCGUUUUAAGUUGGGGGUGAAAGCCUGUGGCUCAACCACAGAAUUGCCUUCGAUACUGGGACGCUUGAGUGUGGUAGAGGUUGGUGGAACUGCGAGUGUAGAGGUGAAAUUCGUAGAUAUUCGCAAGAACACCGGUGGCGAAGGCGGCCAACUGGACCAUCACUGACGCUGAGGCGCGAAAGCGUGGGGAGCAAACAGGAUUAGAUACCCUGGUAGUCCACGCUGUAAACGAUGAAUGCCAGCCGUUGGGGGCUUGCCUUUCAGUGGCGCAGCUAACGCUUUGAGCA
rnacentral:rRNA from 1 species